GUAGGUGGCAAGCGUUGUCCGGAAUUAUUGGGCGUAAAGCGCGCGCAGGCGGUCCUUUAAGUCUGAUGUGAAAGCCCACGGCUCAACCGUGGAGGGUCAUUGGAAACUGGGGGACUUGAGAACAGAAGAGGAAAGCGGAAUUCCAAGUGUAGCGGUGAAAUGCGUAGAGAUUUGGAGGAACACCAGUGGCGAAGGCGGCUUUCUGGUCUGUAACUGACGCUGAGGCGCGAAAGCGUGGGGAGCAAACAGGGAUUAGAUACCCUGGUAGUCCACGCCGUAAACGAUGAGUGCUAAGUGUUAGGGGGUUUCCCGCCCCCUUAGUGCUGCAGCUAACGCAUUAAGCACUCCGCCUGGGGAGUACGGCCGCAAGGCUG
rnacentral:rRNA from 1 species